rnacentral:rRNA from 1 species
GUCUAUAGCUAAGCCACCCUGAACAAGCCCAAUUUCUGAUCUCAGAAGCUAAGCAGGGUUGGGCCUGGGAGACCACCUAGGAACACCAGGUGCUAUAGGCA